GUGUCAAUCCAUCUCAUCGAGGGUCUUUCUCUUUUUUACUGACCCUCUGCUCUACCAAGCAUAAUGAACAUCCUUCUCCAGGAGCUAGUCCCUCCUGAUAACAUGGAAUCAUAGAUUAAUGCUUAUUCUAUUGAAGGGAUUUAAGAAAAAGUCGUCCAUGGAUAGAAUUCAGGUGUUCAAGAACUUGGGUAGAGGAUAAAUUUACAUUUUCAUUUUACUACCUGCCCUACAGAAAUUUAUUAUUUUCUCAAUUAUGAAUAUAGGCAACGGACCACAGUAGCAUUAGCAGUAACCAUGACUUUGUCAUCAGUAGAAAUCAUAGAUAUCUCCAUAUAAGAUUAUAGUUAUUGCAGGUAUUCCAAAAUAUUGUUUAUGUUCAUCUCCUUUGGUAGCUAUUAGCCCCAGUCCUAUUCUUGUUAUCUAGUGGGUUAAUAAUGAAGCACAUAUAUUACUAUAUCAAAAAUGAGCUUAUUAUUGAUAACUAUUUCAAUGCAGUUGGUUUCCUUUGUAAUCCAAUACUUAAAAGCAUUAUUCUGAAAAGGGUCCAUAGGCUUCCCCACAUUACCAAAGAAGUCCAUGACACUAGGAUUGUGUUUCUAUUUGUGAACCUGGGAAUGUAUUCGUUUUGUUUGUUUGUUUGUUUUUGGUAGCCGCAUCCAGUAUUGACUCAUACUGAGCUUACCGUGCAGUCAACUAAAUCCCUUUUUUGCACAUGCUAAUUUAGGCUAUAUUCAUUCCCUAAAAUAGGCAACUAGCAUUACUGUCCAGCCAGUGGCUGGAACUGAUUAACCAAUAGCUUGAAAUUAUUAUAGCAGCACUUUAUAAAAAUAAUUUUUAACUACUUGGUAGGUAAAAUAAGCAGGAGCAGCAAAGAAAGGGAAUGGAACUAAAUAUAGAACUUAAUGUUAACCACCUCAGAUAUCUUGAAAGAUAUUUUCUAUAUGCAGAUAUAUCUGCCAAACAAACUUACGUCUUUCUUUUAAGAAGUCAGUGGUGUUUUUUGGUUCAUUUUGUGGAAGUUAGGGGGAGAGAAAGACUGUUCUGGUUAUUAUUGCUGUGUUGUAAACCAUCCCCAAAACUUUGUGAUGUGAAAUAAUCAUUUUAUUGCAUCCAGGGAUUGUGUGGGUCGGGAAUUUGAACAGGGCCCAUAGCAAGGAUGCUCCAAGGAUGCUGGAGGCUGUAAUCAUCUAAAAGGAUCGUCACUCACCUAUGUCUAGAUAUCAGCUAGGACCGCAGCUGGGGCUGUCCUCCAGAGCACCUGCAUAUGGCCUCUCCAUGUAGCAUGGACUUCCUCACGAAUCUUUGCUCUUAAGAAACAUCGGCAGCAUAUCUAGGAAGAAAAGUUGGAGAGGACACCAGAGCAUGAGCAGAUUCGCACUGCAAGAGACAGCACAAAGAAGAUAGGUGCCAGGUACCAGAUGGAAUGAAAUCAUAUUCCCCUUGCUCUCUUGCCCAGCCUAAAAAGCCAGGCCAGGGAAGUUUGCGAUCGUGGUACAGGAAUGGGGACUAUUGCUCAAUGUUUAAACUACCCCAUCAGGCAAAAUUGCUAUUCAAUAUGCUCCCAACUCCCUAUUUUGUAUUUAAAGGCUUGAAUUCUUAUCUGCAACUUGGCAGCUUUGGAAGCUGACUCAUAUUUUAUUCUGCUCAAGACUUUCACUUCCAAGUACAUAUUCAGGCUUUGUUUGGUCAGUUUUGUUGAUUGUGUGGUUGAAUGCCAUCCCUGGAAAGAUGUGCUUUUAAGCUAGCAUGAAGUCAAUGACUUGCCUUCAGCAUUCACAAGGAAGUUCUGAAGUUUCUGUUUCAAGGCUUUGACAUGCCAGCAAGUAUAAAUCUAGUCUGAUGUCAAGAUGCCCUGUGCCAGUAGGUUGCUUUUGAUCUUGGUCUGCAUGAUUUUCCUUGUGGCUGUUAACCUGUUGCCAUUAAAAGAAACAGAAUAAGAUUAUGGAAUGUGGCAUAGGUUGCAGGCACAGAUAUAGUUAGUAUUUUCUAUAACACCACUCUGGUUUGUUAGAACUUCUAACUACGUUGGCAUUUAAAAAAAAAAAAAA